CCUACGGGUGGCAGCAGUGGGGAAUAUUGGACAAUGGGGGAAACCCUGAUGCAGCGACGCCGCGUGAGUGAAGAAGGAUCUCGGUAUGUAAAGCUCUAUUAGCAGGGAAGAAAAUGACGGUACCUGGCUAAGAAGCCCCGGCUAACUACGUGCCAGCAGCCGCGGGAAAACGUAGGGGGCACGCGUUAUCCGGAUUUACUGGGGGGAAAGGGCGUGUAGGCGGCGCUGCAAGUCCGGAGGGAAAGCCCAUGGGCUAACCAUGAUACUGCGGUGGAAACUGUGGAGCUUGAGUGCGGGAGGGGCAGGCGGAAUUCCUAGUGUAGCGGUGAAAUGCGUAGAUAUUAGGAGGAACACCGGCGGCGAAGGCGGCCUGCUGGACCGUAACUGACGUUGAGGCUCGAAAGCGUGGGGAGCAAACAGGAUUAGAUACCCUGGUAGUC
rnacentral:rRNA from 1 species